rnacentral:tRNA from 1 species
CUUCGAGUAGCUUAAGUUUAAAGUAUUGAAUUCUUACUUCAGGGAUAUCUUUUGAUUUCGGAGG